GACCAGGCAUGGUGGCUCAUGCCUGUCAUCCCAGCACUUUGGGAGGCCAAGGUGGGAGGAUUGCUUGAGGCCAGGAGUUCGAGACCAGCCUGUUCAGCAUAGCAGGACCCCCAUCUCUACAAAAACUAAACAGAUUAGCUAGGUGUGGUGGUGUGUGCCUGUAGUCCUAGCUGCUUGGGAGGGUGAGGCAGGCGGAUAGCCUGAGCACAGGAGAUGGAGGCUGCAGUAAGCCAUGAUUACACCACUGCACUUGAGCCUGGGCAAC
rnacentral:lncRNA from 10 species